CGGGGUUUGACUAAGCCAUGCGAGUCGAGAGGCGCAAGACCUCGGCGUACUGCUCAGUAACACGUGGACAAUCUGCCCUGAAGUGGAGGAUAAUCCCGGGAAACUGGGGGUAAUACUCCAUAGUUCGAAAUUACUGGAAUGUUUUUCGAACGAAAGAUCCGUCGCUUCAGGAUGAGUCUGCGGCCGAUUAGGUAGUUGUUGGGGUAACGGCCCAACAAGCCUGUCAUCGGUACGGGUUGUGGGAGCAAGAGCCCGGAGAUGGAUUCUGAGACACGAAUCCAGGCCCUACGGGGCGCAGCAGGCGCGAAAACUUUACCAUGCGGGCAACCGUGAUAAGGAAACCCCGAGUGCCAGCACAGGCUGGCUGUCCGCCAGUGUAAAUAACUGGUGAAGAAAGGGCCGGCAAGACCGGUGCCAGCCGCCGCGGUAAUACCGGCGGCUCGAGUGGUGGCCGCUAUUACUGGGCUUAAAGGGUCCGUAGCUGGAUGUACAAGUCCCUUG
rnacentral:rRNA from 1 species